rnacentral:rRNA from 1 species
UGAACUUAAGCAUAUCAAUAAGCGGAGGAAAAGAACCAACAGGGAUUGCCCUAGUAACGGCGAGUGAAGCGGCAACAGCUCAAAUUUGAAAUCUGGCUCUUUUAGAGUCCGAGUUGUAAUUUGCAGAGGGCGCUUUGGCUUUGGCAGCGGUCCAAGUUCCUUGGAACAGGACGUCACAGAGGGUGAGAAUCCCGUACGUGGUCGCUGGCUAUUGCCGUGUAAAGCCCCUUCGACGAGUCGAGUUGUUUGGGAAUGCAGCUCUAAAUGGGAGGUACAUUUCUUCUAAAGCUAAAUAUUGGCCAGAGACCGAUAGCGCACAAGUAGAGUGAUCGAAAGAUGAAAAGCACUUUGGAAAGAGAGUCAAACAGCACGUGAAAUUGUUGAAAGGGAAGCGCUUGCAGCCAGACUUGCUUGCAGUUGCUCAUCCGGGCUUUUGCCCGGUGCACUCUUCUGUAGGCAGGCCAGCAUCAGUUUGGGCGGUGGGAUAAAGGUCUCUGUCACGUACCUCUCUUCGGGGAGGCCUUAUAGGGGAGACGACAUACCACCAGCCUGGACUGAGGUCCGCGCAUCUGCUAGGAUGCUGGCGUAAUGGCUGUAAGCGGCCCGUCUUGAAACACGGACCAAGGAGUCUAACAUCUAUGCGAGUGUUUGGGUGUCAAGCCCGAGCGCGUAAUGAAAGUGAACGGAGGUGGGAACCCGCAAGGGUGCACCAUCGACCGAUCCUGAUGUCUUCGGAAGGAUUUGAGUAAGAGCAUGGCUGUUGGGACCCGAAAGAUGGUGAACUAUGCUUGAAUAGGGUGAAGCCAGAGGAAACUCUGGUGGAGGCUCGCAGCGGUUCUGACGUGCAAAUCGAUCGUCAAAAUUGGGCAUAGGGGCGAAAGACUAAUCGAACUAUCUAGUAGCUGGUUCCUGCC